UACGUAGGGCGCAAGCGUUGUCCGGAAUUAUUGGGCGUAAAGAGCUCGUAGGCGGCUUGUCACGUCGGGUGUGAAAGCCCGGGGCUUAACCCCGGGUCUGCAUUCGAUACGGGCUAGCUAGAGUGUGGUAGGGGAGAUCGGAAUUCCUGGUGUAGCGGUGAAAUGCGCAGAUAUCAGGAGGAACACCGAUGGCGAAGGCAGGUCUCUGGGCAUUAACUGACGCUGAGGAGCGAAAGCAUGGGGAGCGAACAGG
rnacentral:rRNA from 1 species